AUUGAACGCUGGCGGCAGGCCUAACACAUGCAAGUCGAGCGGAUGAAGGGAGCUUGCUCCUGGAUUCAGCGGCGGACGGGUGAGUAAUGCCUAGGAAUCUGCCUGGUAGUGGGGGAUAACGUCCGGAAACGGGCGCUAAUACCGCAUACGUCCUGAGGGAGAAAGGGGGGGAUCUUCGGACCUCACGCUAUCAGAUGAGCCUAGGUCGGAUUAGCUAGUUGGUGGGGUAAAGGCCUACCAAGGCGACGAUCCGUAACUGGUCUGAGAGGAUGAUCAGUCACACUGGAACUGAGACACGGUCCAGACUCCUGCGGGAGGCAGCAGUGGGGAAUAUUGGACAAUGGGCGAAAGCCUGAUCCAGCCAUGCCGCGUGUGUGAAGAAGGUCUUCGGAUUGUAAAGCACUUUAAGUUGGGAGGAAGGGCAGUAAGUUAAUACCUUGCUGUUUUGACGUUACCAACAGAAUAAGCUCCGGCUAACUUCGUG
rnacentral:rRNA from 1 species